rnacentral:rRNA from 1 species
CACGAGGGUCUCACUGUCUUAAGGAAAUUUCCAGUGAAAUUGAAUUUGUAGUGAAGAUGCUACAUCCAAAUUGUUAGACAAGAAGUCCCCAUGGAACUUUACUGGAGACUUAUGUGGCUUAAAUUAAUUUAUUUCUUACAAAUAAAUAGUUUUAAAAUGUGGUGUUAACCCCUCAGAUUAACUAGGGUUAUAAAAGCUCACUCUUUUAUUUAAAGAAAGCCAACUCAAAAAUUUAUGUCUUUGGGAUUUGAUAAGUGGGACAGUUUGGUUGGGGCGACCGCCUUUAAAAAAGUAACGAAGGCGGGCUUAAGAUACAUAUUUAGUGAUGUCUGACUGCCAAGGGGAGAUCCUGAGCAGACACUUACUUUUUAGGUGGGUUUAAGUGACCCGUUGAUUUAGGGUGAAAUAGUUAACGAUAAACA